UGUUAGGUGCUUGCACUUGAAAGAUUUAACAUUGAGACGAGUGGCGAACUGGUGAGUAACACGUGGGUAACCUGCCCUUGAAGUAGGGGAUAACACUUGGAAACAGGUGCUAAUACCGUAUAACAACCAAAACCACCUGGUUUUGGUUUAAAAGACGGCUUCGGCUGUCACUUUAGGAUGGACCCGCGGCGUAUUAGCUUGUUGGUAAGGUAACGGCCUACCAAGGCGAUGAUACGUAGCCGACCUGAGAGGGUAAUCGGCCACAUUGGGACUGAGACACGGCCCAAACUCCUACGGGAGGCAGCAGUAGGGAAUCUUCCACAAUGGACGAAAGUCUGAUGGAGCAACGCCGCGUGAGUGAUGAAGGGUUUCGGCUCGUAAAACUCUGUUGUUGGAGAAGAACAGGUGUCAGAGUAACUGUUGACAUCUUGACGGUAUCCAACCAGAAAGCCACGGCUAACUACGUGCCAGCAGCCGCGGUAAUACGUAGGUGGCAAGCG
rnacentral:rRNA from 1 species